rnacentral:rRNA from 1 species
GACGAACGCUGGCGGCGUGCUUAAUACAUGCAAGUCGACUGAAGCAGCGGUAGCAAUAUCGCUUUGUCGGUGGCGCACGGGUGAGUAACACGUAGGUAAUCCGCCUUCAGGUCUGGCAUAACCCCGGGAAACCGGGGCCAAUAGCAGAUGAUGCACCGGCUCGACAUCGAGACAGUUGUUAAAUCUAUGGCGCUGGAAGAUGAGCCUGCGUCUGAUUAGCUAGUUGGCGGGGUAACGGCCCACCAAGGCAACGAUCAGUAGCUGGACUGAGAGGAUGAUCGGGCACAUGAGAACUGAGAUAGGGUCCGGACUCCUGCGCGAGGCAGCAGUGAGGAAAAUAGUUCAAUGGGUGAAAUCCUGAAGCAGCGCCGCAGCGAGAAGGACGAAGGGCGUGAGGUUGUAAACCUCUGUAGAGAGAGAAAAAGAUCGUAAUCAUUGGGGCGUGACGGUAACUGAAAAGUAAGCCCCGGCUAACUACGUG